rnacentral:rRNA from 1 species
AGCAGCCGCGGUAAUUCCAGCUCCAAUAGCGUAUAUUAAAGUUGUUGCAGUUAAAAGCUCGUAGUUGAAUUUCGAGAUCAAUUUAUUGGUCGUGCUAUUGUACGUACUGGUAUUAUUGAUUUCUACCUUCUGACUAACCAUGAUGUCAUUAAUUUGGUGUCAUGGGGAAUCAGGACUGUUACUUUGAAAAAAUUGAGUGUUUAAAGCAGGCUCACGCUUGAAUACAUUAGCAUGGAAUAACGAAAUAGGACGUUUGAUUCUAUUUUGUUGGUUUCUAGGAUCGACGUAAUGAUUAAUAGGGAUAGUUGGGGGCAUUAGUAUUCAAUUGUCAGAGGUGAAAUUCUUGGAUUUAUUGAAGACUAACUACUGCGAAAGCAUUUGCCAAGGAUGUUUUCAUUAAUCAAGAACGAAAGUUAGGGGAUCGAAGACGAUCAGAUACCGUCGUAGUCU